AAUAACUAGGUGGAUGGAUGGAUGGAUAAGUAGGUGGAUGGAUGGAUGGAUAAGUAGGUGGAUGGAUGGAUGGAUAAGUAGGUGGAUGGAUGGAUGGAUGAGUAGGUGGAUGGGUGGAUGGAUGGAUGAGUAGUGUUAGUGGAUGGGUAAGUCAUGUCUAGGUGAUAGCUGACUGAUGAACGGAUGGGUGAGAGGUAAUAGCUGAUAGGCGAUAGGUAGUGGCUGAUCAAUAGCUGAUCAAUACCUGCGUCUAUAUGUGGGCGGAGCAGGGGUUCUCUUCCCACAGUCCUCUGUGUGUCCGUGUGUCCUGUUUUCCUGCCAGGUGUCCGUGUUCGGAAGCCUCGGUCCCGUGUCCUCGGGCCCCAGGGGAGGCGGGUGGCCCUGGGGGCCCCUGGGUGUUGCGGGGGAGGGGCUGGGCGGGUGUCUGGGGGACGUGGGGACACGGGGCCCCCGCUGCAGGCGACUCGCAGCUGUGUCC